GAUGAAGAACGCAGCGAAAUGCGAUAAGUAAUGUGAAUUGCAGAAUUCAGUGAAUCAUCGAGUCUUUGAACGCACAUUGCGCCCCCUGGUAUUCCGGGGGGCAUGCCUGUCCGAGCGUCAUUGCCGCCCUCAAGCACGGCUUGUGUGUUGGGCCCCCGCCCCCCGGCUUCGGGGGGCGGGCCCGAAAGGCAGCGGCGGCACCGCGUCCGGUCCUCGAGCGUAUGGGGCUUCGUCACCCGCUCUGUAGGCCCGGCCGGCGCCCGCCGGCGACCCCAAUCAAUCUUUCCAGGUUGACCUCGGAUCAGGUAGUGAUACCCGCUGAACUUAAGCAUAUCAAUAAGCGGAGGA
rnacentral:misc_RNA from 1 species